GCGUUUUGGAUGUUAUGAUGAUUUCUGAAUUGCAUGGAAAUAUGUGCUGUUUGACUUGAGUCUCACAAACAUUGAUUUUUUUGUACUUUUACAAUAGGUUCUGUUUGUUUAUGUGCAUAAAAUAUCCAGUGGUUUAAACAGUCUCCAAUUAUGACACUGAAUCCCAUCUGUAAAGCAGCAUCCUGUCUGUGUAUCAUUCUCAGGAUCUCAGCAAGGAGGCUUCACAAGUGGGAUAUGAUGUGAGGACAUCUGUUAUGCAACUGAUACACACUGUGAAGGCUACAGGACUUACAAAAAACACCAUGCAAAUCUAAGUGCCAUGCUUGUAAUAUGCUUGUUUUAUA